rnacentral:miRNA from 1 species
AAACAAUAUUUUAACAAGUAUAGCCGCGCGGCUGUACGUUUUGAAUAAAAAAUAUAUUUAAAGCGUAUAGCCGCGCGGCUGUACGCCUUGAAUAAAAAAUA